GAUGAACGCUGGCGGCGUGCCUAAUACAUGCAAGUCGAGCGAACAGACGAGGAGCUUGCUCCUCUGACGUUAGCGGCGGACGGGUGAGUAACACGUGGAUAACCUACCUAUAAGACUGGGAUAACUUCGGGAAACCGGAGCUAAUACCGGAUAAUAUAUUGAACCGCAUGGUUCAAUAGUGAAAGACGGUUUUGCUGUCACUUAUAGAUGGAUCCGCGCCGCAUUAGCUAGUUGGUAAGGUAACGGCUUACCAAGGCAACGAUGCGUAGCCGACCUGAGAGAGUGAUCGGCCACACUGGAACUGAGACACGGUCCAGACUCCUACGGGAGGCAGCAGUAGGGAAUCUUCCGCAGUGGGCGAAAGCCUGACGGAGCAACGCCGCGUGAGUGAUGAAGGUCUUCGGAUCGUAAAACUCUGUUAUUAGGGAAGAACAAAUGUGUAAGUAACUAUGCACGUCUUGACGGUACCUAAUCAGAAAGCCACGGCUAACUACGUG
rnacentral:rRNA from 1 species